AAUCUAGAGUUUGAUCCUGGCUCAGAACGAACGCCGGCGGCAAGCCUAACACAUGCAAGUCGAACGGACAAUUAUUUAUAGCCUCUGGCUAUAGGAAAUUGUUAGUGGCAGACGGGUGAGUAAUGCGUAGGAAUCUACCUAGUAGUACGGAAUAGCCAUUAGAAAUGGUGGGUAAUACUGUAUAAUCCCCGAGGGGGAAAGAUUUAUCGCUAUUAGAUGAGCCUACGUUAGAUUAGCUAGUUGGUGAGGUAAUGGCUUACCAAGGCUAUGAUCUAUAGCUGGUCUGAGAGGACGAUCAGCCACACUGGAACUGAGAUACGGUCCAGACUCCUACGGGAGGCAGCAGUGGGGAAUAUUGGACAAUGGGCGAAAGCCUGAUCCAGCUAUGCCGCGUGAGUGAAGAAGGCCUUCGGGUUG
rnacentral:rRNA from 1 species